AGAAUCAACGCUGGCGGCGUGCCUAACACAUGCAAGUCGAACGAGAAAGUGGAGCAAUCCAUGAGUAAAGUGGCGCACGGGUGAGUAACACGUGACUAACCUACCCUUGAGUGGGGAAUAACUUCGGGAAACCGAGGCUAAUACCGCAUAACACCUACGGGUCAAAGGAGCAAUUCGCUUAAGGAGGGGUCGCGGCAGAUUAGUUAGUUGGCGGGGUAAUGGCCCACCAAGACGGUGAUCUGUAUCCGGCCUGAGAGGGCGCACGGACACACUGGAACUGAAACACGGUCCAGACUCCUACGGGAGGCAGCAGUGGGGAAUUUUGCGCAAUGGGGGAAACCCUGACGCAGCAACGCCGCGUGGAGGAUGAAGUCCCUUGGGACGUAAACUCCUUUCGAUCGGGACGAUUAUGACGGUACCGGAAGAAGAAGCCCCGGCUAACUUCGCGCCAGCAGCCGC
rnacentral:rRNA from 1 species